AUGGACGAAAGUCUGAUGGAGCAACGCCGCGUGAGUGAAGAAGGGUUUCGGCUCGUAAAACUCUGUUGUUGAAGAAGAACAUAUCUGAGAGUAACUGUUCAGGUAUUGACGGUAUUUAACCAGAAAGCCACGGCUAACUACGUGCCAGCAGCCGCGGUAAUACGUAGGUGGCAAGCGUUGUCCGGAUUUAUUGGGCGUAAAGCGAGCGCAGGCGGUUUUUUAAGUCUGAUGUGAAAGCCUUCGGCUCAACCGAAGAAGUGCAUCGGAAACUGGGGAACUUGAGUGCAGAAGAGGACAGUGGAACUCCAUGUGUAGCGGUGAAAUGCGUAGAUAUAUGGAAGAACACCAGUGGCGAAGGCGGCUGUCUGGUCUGUAACUGACGCUGAGGCUCGAAAGUAUGGGUAGCAAACAGGAUUAGAUACCCUGGUAGUCCAUACCGUAAACGAUGAAUGCUAAGUGUUGGAGGGUUUCCGCCCUUCAGUGCUGCAGCUAACGCAUUAAGCAUUCCGCCUGGGGGGUACGGCCGCAAGGCUGAAACUCAAAGGAAUUGACGGGGGCCCGCACAAGCGGUGGAGCAUGUGGUUUAAUUCGAAGCUACGCGAAGAACCU
rnacentral:rRNA from 2 species